AGAGUUUGAUCCUGGCUCAGGACGAACGCGGGGGUUUUGCUUAACACAUGCAAGUCGAACGGAAAGGCCCCGCUCGCGGGGUACUCGAGUGGCGAACCGGUGAGUAACACGUGGGUGAUCUGCCCUGCACUUCGGGAUAAGCCUGGGAAACUGGGUCUAAUACCGGAUAUGACCUCCCUUUAGUGUGGGGGGUGGAAAGAUUUAUCGGUGCAGGAUGAGCCCGCGGCCUAUCAGCUUGUUGGUGGGGGUAAUGGCCUACCAAGGCGUCGACGGGUAGCCGGCCUGAGAGGGUGGACGGCCACAUUGGGACUGAGAUACGGCCCAGACUCCUACGGGAGGUUUGCAGUGGGGAAUAUUGCACAAUGGGCGGAAGCCUGAUGCAGCGACGCCGCGUGGGGGAUGACGGCCUUCGGGUUGUAAACCUCUUUCGACAGGGACGAAGUGAAAAUGACGGUACCUGUAUAAGAAGCACCGGCUAACUACGUGCCAGCAGCCGCGGUAAUACGUAGGGUGCGAGCGUUGUCCGGAAUUACUGGGCGUAAAGAGCUCGUAGGUGGUUUGUCACGUCGUCUGUGAAAUUCCGGGGUUUAACCUCGGGCGUGCAGGCGAUACGGGCAAUACUUGAGUGCUGUAGGGGAGACUGGAAUUCCUGNUGUAGCGGUGAAAUGCGCAGAUAUCAGGAGGAACACCAAUGGCGAAGGCAGGUCUCUGGGCAGUUACUGACGCUGAGGAGCGAAAGCAUGGGUAGCGAACAGGAUUAGAUACCCUGGUAGUCCAUGCCGUAAACGGUGGGCGCUAGGUGUAGGGGACUUCCACGUUCUCUGUGCCGUAGCUAACGCAUUAAGCGCCCCGCCUGGGGAGUACGGCCGCAAGGCUAAAACUCAAAGGAAUUGACGGGGGCCCGCACAAGCGGCGGAGCAUGUGGAUUAAUUCGAUGCAACGCGAAGAACCUUACCUGGGCUUGACAUACACCGGACCGGCGUAGAGAUACGUCUUCCCUUGUGGCCGGUGUACAGGUGGUGCAUGGUUGUCGUCAGCUCGUGUCGUGAGAUGUUGGGUUAAGUCCCGCAACGAGCGCAACCCUUGUCUUAUGUUGCCAGCACGUGAUGGUGGGGACUCAUGAGAGACUGCCGGGGUCAACUCGGAGGAAGGUGGGGAUGACGUCAAAUCAUCAUGCCCCUUAUGUCCAGGGCUUCACACAUGCUACAAUGGUCGGUACAGCAGGUCGCGAACUCGUGAGAGUAAGCCAAUCCUUCAAAGCCGGCCUCAGUUCGGAUUGGGGUCUGCAACUCGACCCCAUGAAGUCGGAGUCGCUAGUAAUCGCAGAUCAGCAACGCUGCGGUGAAUACGUUCCCGGGACCCUUGUACACACCGCCCGUC
rnacentral:rRNA from 1 species